UACGUAGGGGGCGAGCGUUGUCCGGAUUUAUUGGGCGUAAAGAGCGUGUAGGCGGUUCGGUAAGUCUGUCGUGAAAUCCUGAGGCUCAACCUCGGGCGUGCGAUGGAUACUGCCGGGCUAGAGGGUGGUAGAGGCGAGUGGAAUUCCCGGUGUAGCGGUGAAAUGCGCAGAUAUCGGGAGGAACACCAAUUGCGAAGGCAGCUCGCUGGAACGUAACUGACGCUGAGACGCGAAAGCGUGGGGAGCAAACAGG
rnacentral:rRNA from 1 species